AACGCUGGCGGCGUGCCUAACACAUGCAAGUCGAACGCGAAAGGGGCUUCGGUCUUCAGUUGAGUGGCGAACGGGUGAGUAACACGUGGGUGAUCUACCUUCGAGCGGGGGAUAACGUUCCGAAAGGAACGCUAAUACCGCAUGAUGUUCUGGGUUUAAAGACCUGGAAACCAAAGCUGGGGACCGCAAGGCCUGGCACUUGAAGAGGAGCCCGCGUCCGAUUAGCUAGUUGGCGGGGUAACGGCUCACCAAGGCGACGAUCGGUAGCCGGCCUGAGAGGGCGGACGGCCACACUGGGAAUGAGACACGGCCCAGACUCCUACGGGAGGCAGCAGUGGGGAAUUGUUCCCAAUGGGCGCAAGCCUGAAGACGCAACGCCGCGUGGGGGAUGAAGGUUUUCGGGUUGUAAACCCCUGUUGAAUGGGAAGAAAGACUUGCAAAUUAAUACUAUGCGAGAGUGACGGUACCGUUAAAGGAAGCCACGGC
rnacentral:rRNA from 1 species